CGCUCACUGUUUUAGUAGGCAGCUCCGUAUCGUAGCCAGUAUACUUGAGCCCUGACGCGAAAGUCAAACCGGAGUUGUUGAGUUGUAUCCGUAGUGGUCCCGUCUCGCGGUGUCAGAAUCGAAUCAGCCUGGGCCCGUGCAACUUGGUGUACUUACCGAUAUCUAACCUGCUGCUGACCCAGCGAAGAAGAGCCAAGAAAAAAGCCCCUGUCCAAAGUGGUCCGGCGGAAACCACUCCGGGAGUGAUCCUCGAUUAUUCGAACAGCAAGCCUUGAAUGGCCUACUGAAAUCCACAUAUCGAAUUUGGGGAAUUUGUCGCGAAAAUGUCGGUGCAGCAGAAAGGUGAUGCAAAUUCGGUGGCGACUAGCCUACUAGAUACCCCUUUGUCGAGGUUUGCUUCUGAACGCGGAAUGUAAAACUUCAGGUGUUGCGGUUUUGUGAUUUGCAAGUGCAUUCAUUAUCCAGGUGUGUCGAUCGAGCAUCGGAAAGUUACGUUCAAUAGCGAAUAAACGGGUGGAUCGUGAAAAUUUUGCAAGCCUAAUUGCGGAGCCAAAGGAAGAAGGGUGGUGUAUUUUCCCAAUCGCGAAAAUUUUUGGGAAGUGUGAGUUUUCCUUCGUCAGUCGGGAAGCAACACUGCUCCAAGUUCACUAGAGAAUCUUACAGAGGUGGUGUGGUCUAUGUCUGUGUUUGUGUGGUAGAAGUGCGUGCGGGAAAACCUGAGAAGAAAGCAUAGAGGAAGGAAAACUUCAAGUCAAGAGGCGAUUUUCAGGGUGUUCGUUUUCCACCGUGUGACCCGUGUAGCCGUGUGUGUAAGUGGAAAUUUCGUCGGUUGCAGUAGUCAUCCUGUGAGAGCAAGCAGGAGAGAACGAAAAUCCCCGAAAGAACUUAAUUGAAAAUUGAUUCAUUAUUGUUAUUAUUGGUGGGUUGGAAUUUAAACACCACAUCAUUGCUUUCCACCACCCAACGCCUACUACUGCUACCGGUUGCCUCUGUCAGCCUACAAGAGGGAGUUCAACGUCACCCUGAGGCGUUGCCUGCUUGGGUGCCGAACGGAACGCGGAGGAAAAUAAUUCCCAAUCAGAUUCGGCGAAGCCAGCCAGAAAAUUUCUUUCUCUCCUGAACGCACGCUAUUUAAGCAAUUUCAAGAUCUCACAACAACUAGUCGUCAUCGUUAAGCGAACCGAGGAAGCACCAUGACAAAGCGAUUCGAGUUCAACUGGCAGAUUCCGGUUCCGGAGGCUCUGCAGGCCGGUUGCGUCUUCGACCGGUGGUACGAGGAUAAGGAUAAUAACGAGUUCGAACCGGGCUGCACAUUCAAAGUGGACGAGUAUGGGUUCUUCGUCUACUGGAAGAGUGAAGGACGGGAAGGUGACGUAAUCGAACUGUGCCAAGUCAGUGACAUCCGAGCUGGAGGAAUGCCAAAGGACCUAAAACUUUUCAACCAGAUAGUCAACAAACAUGGAGAGAACGUGGAAGAGAAAUCCCUCACCAUUUGCUCCGGAACGGACUACAUUAACAUCAAUAUGCAGCACGUGAUCUGCCCGGAUGCAGCAACGGCCAAGAUAUGGGUUGAUGGGCUGAGGAAAAUCACACACAACGGCAAGGCAAACAACGUGUGUCCGAUGACUGCCCUCAAGAAGCAUUGGAUGCGAUUGGGAUUCCUGGUGGAUCCACGUGGAAAAGUUCCCGUCAAAGUCGUUGCCAGAACAUUUGCCUCCGGUAAAACGGAAAAGCUAGUCUAUCAAAUUUUGUCAGAUUUGGGCCUACCCAGCGGCAAGAACGAUGCCAUCGAAAGGGCGGACUUUACGUUCGAGAAGUUCUACGAGUUGUACCACAAGAUCUGUCCCAGGAACGAUAUCGAAGAACUGUUUCGAUCGAUUACCCAGGGCAAGAGCAAUACUAUCAACAUGGACCAGUUCAUCAACUUCCUCAACGAAAAGCAACGUGAUCCUCGGCUGAACGAGAUUCUCUAUCCGCUGUACGACGAGAAGCGAGCGCUGGAAAUCAUCAACACCUACGAGCAGGACGAAGCGGCUCGUGAAGCAAAAACCCUCACCAAAGACGGUCUCAUUCGGUAUCUCAUGUCGGACGAGAACGCGCCAGUAUUCCUCGAUCGGUUGGACAUCUACAUGGACAUGGACCAACCGUUGUCUCACUACUACAUCAACUCAUCUCACAAUACGUACCUGUCGGGUCGCCAAUUCGGCGGCAAGAGUUCCGUCGAGAUGUACCGCCAAACGUUGCUGGCCGGGUGCCGUUGCGUCGAGCUGGACUGCUGGGACGGCAAGGGUGAAGACGAGGAACCGAUCAUCACCCACGGAAUGGCCAUGUGUUCAGAUAUUCUGUUCAAGGACGUAAUAUACGCGCUUCGUGAUACGGCGUUCGUCACCUCGGAUUAUCCUGUGAUCUUAUCGUUCGAAAAUCACUGCUGCCGAUCGCAGCAGUACAAACUAGCUAAAUACUGUGAUGAAAUCCUCGGUGAUCUACUGCUGAAGGAGCCACUGCCCGAUUAUCCGUUGGAACCCGGUGCUCCGCUUCCGCCUCCAUCUGCCAUGAAACGCAAGAUCCUCAUUAAGAACAAACGACUGAAACCUGAGGUGGAGAAACGUGAGCUGGAGUUGUUCCUGCAGGGUGAAUUCGUGGCGGAAGAUGACGUCAAGGAGGAUGCCAGCGCCGUGCGUAAACCGGAGGCUACCGAAGAGGUCGCAGCUGUAGCGACAGUAGCGGCUUCUCAAGAUGGCGGUGAAGAGGUUCCUGCAGUACAGUACACCGGUUCAACGACCAACGUCCACCCCUGGCUGUCGUCGAUGGUCAACUACGCCCAGCCGAUCAAGUUCCAAUCGUUUGACUACGCCGAAAACAAGAAUAUCCACCACAAUAUGUCCUCAUUUGCCGAGACGACCGGAAUGAAUCUUCUGAAACAACAGGCCAUCGAUUUUGUAAACUACAAUAAAAGGCAGAUGUCCCGUAUCUACCCGAAAGGUACCCGAGCGGAUUCGUCCAACUACAUGCCCCAGGUGUUCUGGAAUGCUGGUUGCCAGAUGGUGUCCCUUAACUUCCAGACAUCCGAUCUACCAAUGCAGCUGAAUCAGGGUAAAUUCGAGUACAACAACAACUGUGGUUAUUUGCUGAAACCGGAUUUCAUGCGGCGAGCUGAUCGAAGUUUCGACCCAUUCGCCGAUGCUCCGGUCGAUGGAGUGAUUGCCGCCUCUUGCGCUGUACAGGUCAUUGCCGGUCAAUUCUUGUCGGAUAAGAAAGUCGGCACGUACGUCGAAGUCGACAUGUACGGUUUACCCUCAGAUACCGUCCGAAAAGAGUUCCGAACCCGUUUAGUUCCGGCGAACGGUCUCAAUCCGGUCUACAACGAAGAAGCAUUCCUCUUCCGUAAGGUGGUGUUGCCGGAUCUAGCCGUUCUGCGAUUCGGCGUCUACGACGAAAACGGUAAACUGCUCGGACAACGAAUCCUACCGCUGGACGGUCUCCAGGCUGGAUACCGGCAUAUCUCCCUCCGAACCGAUGCCAAUUUUCCGAUGUCCCUGCCCAUGUUGUUCUGUAACAUUGAGUUGAAAAUUUACGUUCCCGAUGGAUUUGAAGACUUCAUGGAUGCCCUGUCCGAUCCACGUGCUUUCAUGGGAGCAGCCAAGGAACGAUCGGACAACAUGAAGGCUAUGGGAAUCGAAGAAUCGAGUGCUGGAGGUGCAGCGGACAACAGCAAACAGGCGAAGAAGGACGAAUACUUGGAACCACCGAUCGUAUUCGACCCGAUUACGGUGGAAUCGCUCCGACAAGAGAAAGGCUUCCAGAAGACGGCCAAGAAGCAGCAGAAGGAACUGGAUAGCGUCAAGAAGAAGCACGCCAAGGAACGAACGGGAGUGCAGAAGCAGCAGAAUACUGCCAUUGAAAGACUGAUCAAGGGAAAAAGCAAGGAGGAAAUCAAGGCGGACCCAGCAAUCCGGAAAGUGAUCCAGGAGCAAAAUGCUCAGUGGAGCGAGAUGAUCGAGCGCCACAAGAAGGAAGAGUGGGAUCUGCUCAAGCAACAGCUGGACGACCAGCGAGAUAUCCUGCGGAAACUGAUGGAAGCCACGCAGGCUUCGCAGAUGAAACAGCUGGAGGCGAAACACGAACGCGAAAUCAAGACGCUGAACAGCCUGCAGGCCAAGAUCUCAGUCGAAACCUCCAAGGAGGUGGCCAAUGAUAAGACCCUGAAAACCAAGGGCGAGAAGGAUCGUCGGUUGCGUGAGAAGAAGCAAAACAACAUCAAACGGUUCAUGGAUGAGAAGAAGACGGCCACCAUCAAGCAGAACCGCGAGAAGGAGAAGCUCAAGGUGACACACGACAAGCAACUGGAGGAGCUGGACAAUGACGUUCAGAAGGUACAGAACGCCUACCGGGAGAUUGUAACGCUUGAAACGGUGGUGUAGCGUUCGCACCUCGAACUCGCGCCAUCAUCCCCCCGUUCGAUCUCUUAGUCCCACCUGAAGAAAAAAAACCUGAUUCGUGGAGUGAAACACGUGCCGUGUUGCACCGCAAAUUGCCAAGCUGAUCUGUGUUAUAUAAUCGUGUAGUAGUUUCUGUUUUAGGUUUAUUGAUUUUGUUUUUUUUUCGUACGUUAAGUUUCGUUUAUCAGUAGUUAUGCGCACAAUGCAGCCAAAGCCAGUUAUUUAUUUUCCUAUUAGAACGAGUUUUUGUUUUGCUGUAUUUGGUGUAGAAGUUUUACCGUGUACCUUACAUCGCCUUAUAAGUUCGACUGCUGUUACUGUUAGAGUGUUUGUGUUAACCGAAGCUGGAACGCCUCAUUUUCACUCGAAAUCAACUGAUCGACAUGUACAAGGUCGACGAGGAGGAGUACAAGAUGACCAGCAAGAUGGAAUUCUACGCCUGAAUGUUGGCCAACGGUUCGCCACCUCCGGACGAAUCUACGAAAUAGCCCUAGCAAAAGGGAAGUCGGACAGCUGCACCACAGAAGAACUGAACUUUAUUUUCGGAAAUGUCUCGUAUUAUAUAAGAAAAAAAAAGAUAAGCAAGACAAAACCAAUCCAACGUGUAUUUGUAGUAAGGCAGUAACAACAAGUUGAAACAUCAAACAUCAUCAAGAUCACAAUGUGUAGAUCGAACAGGAAUGAACCAGCAAAACAUGUAUUGAGAGUACGAAAAACCCCAUAUUUUAGAUGAUAAACUAAGUGAAAAAUAAGCAGCUCUACUAUCAAAAGGGAAAAAUGUAUCAUUUUGAGCGGAACAAAAAACUAGGUGAACCAAAAAAGGAAAAACAAAACAACUAAGAAACUAUUACUACUUAGUAUUAGCAAAAAGCAGUGUAAACAGAACCUAUCAAAGAGUAGCAUCAUUUUAGGACAAAAGGAAAAAAAUAAUAUGAAAUGAAAUGAAAAUCAAAGUGAGAUUAGUUGUUUCUUAUUGAUCGUUAUUUAUUUUGUGAACGUGAAAGGAAAUGUACGCGACCAGGAGGCAGUGGAGGAAUGUUAGGAUUGUUCUUGUUGUUGGGACAGGGAACUAACACAUCCAAACAAAUACUUAUCCAACUACGAAUGAGCGGGAUCAAAUGAAUAUUUUACUUUAUUCAGUAGCAGGUGAAACUACUAGGGAGA